rnacentral:tRNA from 1 species
AGAAAUUUAGGUUAAUACUAAACCAAGGNCCUUCAAAACCCUAAAUAUGAGCCACUAACCCUCCUAAUUUCUG